GCCAAGUGGACCACGGACAACCAACAUUUACGAAGUGAAAGUUGCAGAAUUUUAGGUGCAGCCAUGAAAUUGGUAUGUGGUGUCAGUUUCGCCUUUUCAUUCUAAAGGUUGGCCCUUUGGAUCAAAGGUAUGAGUUUAAAGGAGAUCGACCAACUAUGAAUGGCAUGCUGUGCAACCUGGAGACCCCUACUUAUGUCAUUAUUUGUGCUUUUAUUAUUUACAUUUGUAAUUCACCUAUCUUUGUUUUGUCUCUUGGAUGAAUGAUUGCA